NUAGCUCAGUGGUAGAGCAUUCGACUGCAGAUCGGAAGGUCCCCGGUUCGAAACCCGGGUGCCCA
rnacentral:tRNA from 1 species